rnacentral:rRNA from 1 species
GGCCGAACGAUGCAUUCGAACGCCGUAUCAUUUUUUUUUGGCAGACGGGUGAUUAACACGUGGGAACGUGCCCUUUGGUUCGGAACAACACGGGGAAACUUGUGCUAGUACCGGAUAAGCCCUUACGGGGAAAGAUUUAUCGCCGAAGGAUCGGCCCGCGUCUGAUUAGCUAGUUGGUGGGGUAACGGCCCACCAAGGCUACGAUCAGUAGCUGGUCUGAGAGGAUGAUCAGCCACACUGGGACUGAGACACGGCCCAGACUCCUACGGGAGGCAGCAGUUAGGAAUCUUGGACAAUGGGCGCAAGCCUGAUCCAGCCAUGCCGCGUGAGUGAUGAAGGCCUUAGGGUUGUAAAGCUCUUUCAGCGGGGAAGAUAAAGACGGUACCCGCAGAAGAAGCCCCGGCUAACUUCGUGCCAGCAGCCGCGGUAAUACGAAGGGGGCUAGCGUUGCUCGGAAUCACUGGGCGUAAAGCGCACGUAGGCGGGUCUUUAAGUCAGGGGUGAAAUCCUGGAGCUCAACUCCAGAACUGCCUUUGAUACUGAGGAUCUCGAGUCCGGGAGAGGUGAGUGGAACUCCGAGUGUAGAGGUGAAAUUCGUAGAUAUUCGGAAGAACACCAGUGGCGAAGGCGGCUCACUGGCCCGGUACUGACGCUGAUGUGCGAAAGCGUGGGGAGCAAACAGGAUUAGAUACCCUGUAGUCCACGCCGUA